rnacentral:rRNA from 1 species
ACACAUGCAGUCGAACGAUGAUGCCCAGCUUGCUGGGCGGAUUAGUGGCGAACGGGUGAGUAAUACGUGAGUAACCUGCCCUUGACUCUGGGAUAAGCCUGGGAAACUGGGUCUAAUACUGGAUACUACCUCUUACCGCAUGGUGGGUGGUGGAAAGGGUUUUACUGGUUUUGGAUGGGCUCACGGCCUAUCAGCUUGUUGGUGGGGUAAUGGCUCACCAAGGCGACGACGGGUAGCCGGCCUGAGAGGGUGACCGGCCACACUGGGACUGAGACACGGCCCAGACUCCUACGGGAGGCAGCAGUGGGGAAUAUUGCACAAUGGGCGGAAGCCUGAUGCAGCGACGCCGCGUGAGGGAUGACGGCCUUCGGGUUGUAAACCUCUUUCAGUAGGGAAGAAGCGAGAGUGACGGUACCUGCAGAAGAAGCGCCGGCUAACUACGUGCCAGCAGCCGCGGUAAUACGUAGGGCGCAAGCGUUGUCCGGAAUUAUUGGGCGUAAAGAGCUCGUAGGCGGUUUGUCGCGUCUGCUGUGAAAGCCCGGGGCUCAACCCCGGGUCUGCAGUGGGUACGGGCAGACUAGAGUGCAGUAGGGGAGACUGGAAUUCCUGGUGUAGCGGUGAAAUGCGCAGAUAUCAGGAGGAACACCGAUGGCGAAGGCAGGUCUCUGGGCUGUUACUGACGCUGAGGAGCGAAAGCAUGGGGAGCGAACAGGAUUAGAUACCCUGGUAGUCCAUGCCGUAAACGUUGGGCACUA